rnacentral:lncRNA from 1 species
GUAUGAACCUACAAUCAACCCUGUCCUUUUGUGUCCCCAAGAUAUGCUUUUUGAGGGCAGGACAUGUGCACAUCCACAAACCCAAACAUAGCUGUCAAGCAUCUCCAGUCCCAAUCUCACAGGAGACAGCUCGUAGGAACACCAUGGGGCUUACAAAGGAUUUUCAGGCCCAGAAACCAGUGUUAUAAAUAUAUAUUUAUGAAACACCAGAGCUAUAAUCAAAUGUAUACAAGAACUAGAACUUAAGAACUCAGUGAACUGAGACAACUGAGAGUUUAAAGCAUCAGUAGAAAAUUUCACUGGAUGUUUAUCAGUCAGCAAUAUUGAUGAAAUACUUGAAUGAUUCCUACAUCUAACUUAUGGAGUACAUGAAGCUGCAGCAAGGCUUAAUUUUGUGCAGGAAUGCCAACCCAAUUCCUUCUACCAACCCUCUCUAUGAAGAGGAGUGAUCGGGCAAAUCUCUUGAGAAAAGGAGACCUAACAACUCCUUACCCAUAUUGCCAUGGAGACACCCACACAAACAGAGCACCUCCUUCUUCCAGAGUCUCCAGUCAUUCCCGGCUCCAGGGCCAUACAGUGAGAGACGGAGCACACCAGAAGUUCAGCUGAGAAUAACAGCAGGAAUACUGAAAUGCCAUAUGAAGGGU